UGAUUCCUGUAACAAGAUGCCAAGUGUUUGAUCUCACAGCUUCCAGGGGAGCUGCUCCACUGGGGAGUUACUUAAGGCAAAUCAAGCUCACCGUCAUUCCCAGAGAAAGGGUGGUGCUGGGAUGACAGUUGCAGGCAUUGCUCCGUUAAACCAGAAUUAAAGUCUGCUGCUACUUAAAGGGGAAUGUUUCAGCAGAGCCAGGAGGCAGUUUGUCUCAUCCCUGCUCCAUUGGGUGCUGGGACUCCUGUGAACUGCAACCAGAUGCUUGGCAAGGAGUGCUGCUCUCAAUAACUAUCUCUUCUGUAGCACUUUGUCAUGGUGCAUCCUUUACAAUACAGCACCUGGGAACAGCGGGGUCCCUCCAAUCCACACUGUGGGAUGGGGAGGCACCCAUCAGGGUGAGGUGUUCCACCAGGGAAUGGACAGACAAGUCACACGGCAGCUCUGAGCUUCAGGCUUUCUGGAGACCAGCAACGUGCUCCAAAGCGUGACAAAUGGUGUGCAGACAUCUCAGAGUUGCUUUCAAAGUGACAAUGACAAUGAUGUGCUAAUGCAGCAUCCUGCAAAGGCUCAGGUGGAUUCUCUGCUUCUUGUGCAGGACUUCUAAGACAUAGGUCACUUGGCUGGAGUCCUGCUAUUUGGCAGUCCCUUUAACAUCAUCAAUAAACCUCCAAAGCCAUCUGAGGCUGCAAGAUUAGCAGCUACCACCCCGAUGAGUUUAGUUUAUGCAGUUGAAGGGAUGAAGAAAUACAGUCUAAGGACACAAUCUGCAAAUAAUCUUUGAAAAAGAUAAAGACUUGUAUUAUUUGUCAGCUUCCUUCAUGUUGCACUUCAGCGGGCCAGGCAGGACGUACUGCAUGAAUAGGCAGCGAAGCAGUGGGAGGCAAAGUCAUAAUCGCCUUUUGUGUUCUUUGAUUAUUGUUAUCCAAACUAAACAAAGA